rnacentral:rRNA from 1 species
CCUACGGGUGGCAGCAGUGAGGAAUAUUGGUCAAUGGGCGAGAGCCUGAACCAGCCAAGUCGCGUGAGGGAGUACUGCCCUAUGGGUUGUAAACCUCUUUUGUCGGGGAGCAAAAGCCGGACGUGUCCGGCUGUGAGAGUACCCGAAGAAAAAGCAUCGGCUAACUCCGUUCCAGCAGCCGCGGUAAUACGGAGGAUGCGAGCGUUAUCCGGAUUUAUUGGGUUUAAAGGGUGCGCAGGCGGAUUUUUAAGUCAGCGGUAAAAUCGUGGGGCUCAACCCCAUCCAGCCGUUGAAACUGGGGAUCUAGAGUGUGCGAGAGGUAUGCGGAAUGCGUGGUGUAGCGGUGAAAUGCAUAGAUAUCACGCAGAACCCCGAUUGCGAAGGCAGCAUACCGGUGCACAACUGACGCUCAGGCACGAAAGCGUGGGUAUCGAACAGGAUUAGAUACCCCUGUAGUC